GAUAUAUACAAUGAAAAAGAGACUCGAUGUACUGCUGGAGACUAGUGAAACAACUUUCUCUACAUUGUACAACAUGUUUCAGAGACACUGUGUCUCUGAAACAUGUGUCUGUCAAGAAAAACCUGUAGAAACAGUAUUAGAUUUCACUGAACAUGGCUUACAGGUGAAACUGCCACAUUCCUUUGGUGCUUGCUUCUUGGCUUUUGUACAUGUUGUCAUGUUAGUUCAUUUCUUUAUGUUCAUUAGUUUAUUUUUCUACAUUGUGCCACAAGAGGAGACUUGUUUUGGUCAUAAAUAACUAAAAAAUAAUUGUUAUUAAUAAAACAAGAUACUUAGAUCAAAAUGACAAAUUCAAGGUACAAGAAAAUUAGGUCCAGUACUGCAUGGCGUUCCUCGAACAUCCAGAUGCAACAUAAACACAGACACUUCUCUCAAAUAUACAAGAGUUUCUUAACAAAAACAAUUCAACUCUACAGUUAAAUACUUAAACAAACUCGCUAAGCUAUCAAUGUGCAAAUUAAACUACUAAGAAAACAAUAAAAUGACAAAACUAAUAAACUUCUAAAAGUUAACAGUAAAAAUAUAUGAACUAAUAACAUAAUAACCAAUGAAAUGAUGCAAUGCUCUCACAGUUCAGUUUUUAAAGGGGGGCAAUUAUGCAAAAUUUAGUUUUUUUUACCUUGUUAUAAUAUUAUUCAUGCCCUCAAAAAUAGACCUGAAUUGUUGCUUUGAGUCUUUCAUAUAUGUUUGAGAAAUGCUUGAAUCUCCUGUGGGAACAAUUUGUGGGUGCCUAAAUGCUUGCUCUCACAAAGCUCUUCAUACAGCUGCCGUAUCUAACUGAGCUUCUGCUUCAUGCCUCCCCCUCUCUGCUCCUCCAGACUAGCGGUAGCACCAAUCAGCAAACACCUGGUGGAAAUGCAAAUUCUGGUGCGCUCGUCAUAUCAACACUCUUAAAAACAUCUGAAAACGGCAUAACUGAGAGACACCUUUGUGAUGAUACUCUGAAAGAGGAUUGUCAGAGAGAGUAUGAGCUUCUUAAGGAGGCAGAGGCCAAUUUCAAGAUUUCAAAUUGCAAAAAGUGAAAUUUCUCUUUAAAGGGCAGUACUAUGUGUGUUCCAGGCUUAAAAACCCCCCAAAACAAAAAAAAACAAAAAAAAAAAAACAACGAUGGAUCUACAAAAUAUCGGCAAAAAUAUUCAUUUUUAUGUUUGUUUGUUGUUCUGAUGUGACGAUGGCAAUCUAUAAGAUUAAACCUACCUGGCUUGGAAAAGGGAACUUCAAUUAUGGGCUAUCCUGUGUGUUUUAGAGUUCCCCUAGUCCCUGUAAGUUCCCGGAAAGCCAAAAAGAGGAUUAAAAAGUGGUUUGACGUAACUCCUUCAGAAAUAGAUGACUCUCUUUGGAGCCUUGCCAAGUGAUUAUCUAUGAGUCACUUAUGGAAAAAUGUCUGCAAUGAGAACCUUGUGUAUUGUUUGCCACUGUUAUUUCUGCCUUCUUGAAACAAAGUGGAUAAUAUGGGCUUAUAUUACACAAACAAAGCAUCUGUUCACUAUCUACACAUUGUUGUUGCUGCCUUACUGCUACACACUUGUUUGCAUUUGUCCUAAAGGAAGAUUUCCAUUACUAUUUUCAUAAUAUCACAUUCUUUUGUGAACAUGGCCAAAAUUCUGUGCAAGCCAUGCUAGUGAUUAUGAAAGUAGCGUAGACAGUGCUGGAACUGUGGGCGCUGUCUAUGCUAAUUAAACUAAACCAACAGACAGAUCUCUCUGACAAAUAUGGUCAAAACGUCGUCUCAAACACGACACAGCUGAUCAGCAUCAUCCUAGCAUAACCAGGUUAGUACCAUUUCAGUUUUAUUUGUUUUGGUGACACAGGGUGAAACAUUAACUUUAGGCUUAGACAAACAGAGUACACACUCUGAGAAGUCAUGCAGUAACACACGUUACUCGCCACAUAGCAUUUUCUCAAAUCUUUGUGGAGGUGAAUGCUGUUCAGCACCGUCUCCACCUGGUGUUUUAGGCGUCGAUCUGAUUGAGAUUUAAGGACAUAAAAAAAAAAAAAAACUUCUUGAAUGUAAUAGAAUGACUUUCACCUCACUGUGACCUGAGGUGAUUCUUCUGAAAGUUAAUGGAAGAGCGAUGGGGGCCAAACGACCACAACUGAGAGACACCAUGCCUUCAAGGACGGGUUAUGGCUUAUAGCAGACUGCUGCUGCUGCUGAUAGGAGCGACUGUCACCCACCUGCCUCAAGUAAGCGCAAGACCGAUUGCCUUCUGGUGUAACACUGACACUAUGGAGCACCUGGUGAUGAGUUUCAAACGUGAGGGUAACUGCUCUGACACCCUGCUCUCCACUGUAGAUGUGCCAAGAGUGGGGGUGAAUUCGCAAAAAUAUUUAAACUACACAUUUCAGGAAAAACUGUCUGAUGUGCUGCAGAACUUCCAGGCAUUCCAAGAAACCGUCAAACAUCUUAGUAAUCAAACCAGCGCGGACUGUGAGGAUUUCCUGAAUAAUUUUGCUCACAGUAUUAAGCAGUACGUGAUGAUUCUCAAAGAGCAACCACAGAAAAACGGCCCUUUGCCUCCUCCAGCUUUGCCUCAAACAUGGGACAGAACACAGAAACUUAGUGAAAUCUGGGACAGAUACAGCACACUAGUCAAAAAGAAGCUGAAAAAUGUUGCUUUGGAAGUUGAGUGCAGCCAUAACAAGAAAAGGAGUGUAAGGCAGCUUGAACCAAAAGGACCCUAAUUGUAUAACUGUGUUACCUCGGACCAGAUUCGACUCAUUGAAGCCAGAGGAUGCGUCAUGGUGACAAAGACGCAAAAGCACUUGGAAUGGACCUAUAGGAAUCAAGCUACAGUCAACGACGAAGAACUACAAACCAAGUUAGCAGAACUGUAUCAUGGGCUGCAUAAUGAGGACAUUCAUAUUUAUUGGGACAUCAGAUGCUCUUCUAUGGAUUGCUGUUUCACAGCAUUGGUUUCUACAUUUGGGAUUGAGGAUGCUGGUUUUUUUGGAGCCAGCGAUGAUUUGCUGGAUCUCAACAAUAUGUGACGAACUUCCAUUUGGCAGCAACUACAAAUCCUGAAUCUAGGAAAUGCAAUUUCAGAAUUUAUUUUAUAUAUCACCAUGCUAAUAUUUGCAACAGAGCAAAUGAGGGAUGCACAGACUUUUUUUUUUAUUUCAUUUUAUUUGUGUGGUUCAGUUAUGAAUGAGCUAUUGCAUCCCAGUCACAAGUUUGCGGAGAAGCGGGCUUUCCUAAGCUAUAUCUGUAGGUUACAGCUGCAGAUGUAGCAGCUAUAAGCUAAGAUAAACAAUGAAUGACAGCACAUCAUGCUAGAUUUUCUACUCAAAUACUGAAAUAAUAUGUUCACUGAAAUGUCUUAGAACAACAAUAUUUUAGCAUUCGAAAACUGAAUUAAAUUAUGUUGCAGGAAAUGUUAAAUUAAUACAAGAUAUCAAAUUGUUAGCACUAGUUAAGUUCCACAAACUUUUCCUACAUUAAACAACAAUGGGAACAGUAAAACGGGAAAUGCCCAUUACAAGUAUUCAUAUAGACAAAAGUAGCCGUUCACACCCUGUUUAAUGAAACAUUAGCUUUUAAUAUAGAUGCUAUGGCUCACCAACAAGGGCGGCAUCGCAAUGGGAGCGUCACAAAAAAAUGACCUGUCAGUUUUUACCUGAAUAAGUUUUGUAUUGUUCAUUUGUGAGAGAGUGGGUUAUAGUUGCCCCUCGCAUAUUGCAUAGUGUAAGCCUGCUAAGCCUUAAACCCCAACUGGACAAUGACUGUAAAGUUUUCACUUAAUUUGCAUGUUCCUAUUAGUGCUAAAAUGUGGGUGUACUUCUUACAGUUUAAAGAAUAUUUAGUGGAUUUGAUUAUCUUUGGCAAAACUUUAUAAUUCUACACUGAAGAGGGGCCUAUCAAAAGUACAGCUUAAUUAUAUUCAUAAAACAUUUGAAAAUACACACAACACAUUGGAAACCUUUUGCUAAUAUGACCUCCACAGAUUGCACUUUUCAUAGUUUUUUUAAACUUGAACUGAAUUAUUUUUUAAACACUGCUUACAAAUUCACAAAAAUGCUUCCUGAUUUACCCCAAUAUGCGCAGUUUUCUCAGAAAUAUAGGUAAAAUCCUCCUGUCUUGUCUCAUGAGUAAAUGUACGAUAACAACCCUAGUACACGCGUAUAUACAUUGGCUCAGAAGAACGGGAUCCCAGAGCUAGCACUCACUGUGGUUUCUACAAAGGUGCGAAAGACAAACAAACUAUUGUUUUAGAAUUCAAGACUGAACUUAGACUGACAGGCUGCCCUGAAGCUAGAGUAGUGUAUCUGAUCCUUAAACCAGCUUCAAUAUUUACUUUAACCAUAUAUUGCACAAUCAGCUCAUAGUGCAGCCAAACUUUCACUUAUAGGUUGUUAGUGUGGCCUCAGUCUCAUGGAAACUAAUCUGAAAGGAUUGUGGUUCUCUUGGUUUAUUAUGUGAUGCCCCCCUUAAACUGUGAGUGCUUUAAUGACCAAACCUUCCUGAAUGUGCUUUUGCAGACCCUUUUAACCUUGCAGUUUAAAGCUAUUGUAAUAUACUGUACAAUUCAAACUGAGAGUUUAGCGCCCUCUGUAGGUGCUAGAUAAGAAAUGCAAGUGGUCAGAUUUAGACUCAAAAUAUUAAUCAUCUUCAUCACUGUUUGCAAAAGGGUUGACAUUUAAUCACAUUAAUUGCACUCUGAUGAAGAUCUUAUGUUUUUUUAAAGAACACAAAUUACUUUAAUCUUCAAAUGAUCAAUGUAAUAUGCAGUUUAAAGUGUAAAAGCGAAUGUUUUCUCAAAGUUCAUAACGAGGUGAAAGUCAAAUGUGAAGUAUAUAUAGCUGAAAAAUGUGAACAAAAACAUUUAUUCUGUAUCUGUACAUAUAAGUCGAACGUAUUAUAACUUAGAUCAUGGGAAAGCGAUCAAGAACAUGCCUGGAUAUGAAAAAUAAUUUAUCAAUUUUACUUUGAAAUUAAUCCUAAAAUAUUGUAUAUAUGUGAAAUGCAGCUGAGUGUGUACGGCUUGCAAACGUUAAAAGGCUGUGUUUCACAAACACUUACAGAUUUAUGUGUUAUUUAUUUACUGACGAGGACUUUGGACUAUUUGAACUGGACAUGAACCCUUCUUCUGUAUCACUUGGAUCAUCACUUUCUUUAUUAGCGUUGAAAGAACGCGAAUUUUUCAAAAUAAAAGCUUUAGAAAUUAAAAAGAGAAAUCAAUGUGGACUUUUAUUUUGAUAUUUAAAAAAAAAAAAAUGUCAGCAAGUACGUUUAUCAUUGUAACCCUCCUAUUGGCCCGACUAACUUCAUCAUAUGACCGAAAGCAACAGGCUGGAAAGUGUGAAAGCAGGAAAUCCCAGGAAAACCCAAGUACGAAAGUAAAGUUAGAUAGAAUUAAACAGGAAGUUUUGCAUUAAAAAAAAUAAAAUAAGAUAUAACCGUACAUGGCUCUUGUAAACUCUUUACUGUUUUUUUGUUUUGCAAAGUUUUAUAAAAUCAUUGCCCUCUUCCCACUCCUCCUCUUUAUCAACUGUGGAUUAUAGUUAUAUUUGUGAAGCACUUUGUGGUUUUAAUAUCUGUGACUGGUGCAAUUUAGAUAAAUACUACUGAAGCACAGACCCCACAAGACAUUUGGAGGUGUGUUUUUAUCUAGCAUCAAGAGGUCAGCAGCAGAUCAUUUUGGUUUGGAAGGUGGAAUGCUCUGAUCCAGCUGAUCCCAGAGAAGUUAUAUUGAGGUCUUGGGAA